GCUGGGAUCUCCGACUGGUUAAGAAGUUUGACCCGAAAUCAAAUGCGCUCUGCCCGCAUAGGUUCGAAUCCUGUUCGCUGCG
rnacentral:tRNA from 1 species